rnacentral:rRNA from 1 species
UACGUAGGGGGCAAGCGUUGUCCGGAAUCAUUGGGCGUAAAGAGCGCGUAGGCGGCCCUGUAAGUCCGCUGUGAAAGUCAAGGGCUCAACCCUUGGAUGCCGGUGGAUACUGCAGGGCUAGAGUCCGGAAGAGGCGAGUGGAAUUCCUGGUGGUAGCGGUGAAAUGCGCAGAUAUCAGGAGGAACACCGAUGGCGAAGGCAGCUCGCGGGACGGUGACUGACGCUGAGGCGCGAAAGCGUGGGGAGCAAACAGG